UACGUAGGCAGCAAGCGUUGUUCGGAGUUACUGGGCGUAAAGGGUGCGUAGGCGGCCCUGUAAGUAUGGUGUGAAAUCUCCCGGCUUAACUGGGAGGGUGCGCUAUAGACUGCGGGGCUCGAGUGUGGGAGAGGAAAGUGGAAUUCCUGGUGUAGCGGUGAAAUGCGCAGAUAUCAGGAGGAACACCGAGUGGCGAAGGCAGGUCUGCUGGCCGAUACUGACGCUGAGGAGCGAAAGCGUGGGGAGCGAACAGG
rnacentral:rRNA from 1 species